rnacentral:rRNA from 1 species
GACAGAGGGUGCAAACGUUGUUCGGAAUUACUGGGCGUAAAGAGCGUGUAGGCGGCCCGGUAAGUCCGUUGUGAAAGUCCAGGGCUCAACCCUGGAAAGCCGAUGGAUACUGCCGGGCUAGAGUGCGGAAGAGGCGAGUGGAAUUCCUGGUGUAGCGGUGGAAUGCGCAGAUAUCAGGAGGAACACCUAUAGCGAAGGCAGCUCGCUGGGACGACACUGACGCUGAGACGCGAAAGCGUGGGGAGCGAACAGG